rnacentral:rRNA from 1 species
GGGGUAAACCUGCGAAACUCGAAUGAACGAACGGAGAGAUUCAUCGUCACUCCGCGGCGUACUCGCGCGCGCCUCGACGCCCGUCGGCCUCGGCCGGCGGGCGCGGGUCGCGCGAGUCGACGUCCGCGGACGGCGUGCACUUCUCUCUCAGUACAUACAUCGCGACCCGUUCGAUGUCGGCCUGAGCGCCGUCCGGGAGCCCCGCCGUCCCCUCGGGGGCGACGGGACCGCGACGGACGCCGGCCGGCCGUCGGACGGUAGUUUCCGAGGAACCGCGCACGCGUCUUCGACGCGUCCGGCUCGACGCAAGCCAACGCUGCUCUCCGGUGUGUAACGCCCGUGUGCGCGCGCCGGAGACGUGUAACUGUCGUCGCUGCCGUUGUCUCGGACUGUGCGCGUCUCUUGUCUGCGAUGAUUCAGUUUCGGGCACUCGCAGGACCCGUCUUGAAACACGGACCAAGGAGUCUAGCAUGUAUGCGAGUCAUUGAGAUUCAUAAACUGAAAGGCGCAACGAAAGUGAAGGCGUGCGCUUGUCGCGCGCUCAGGGAGGAUGGAGCGCCGGUCUAGGCCGGCCUCUCGCACUCCCGAGGCGUCUCGUUUCCAAUCCGUGAAUGCAGGCGCGCUC